UACAGAGGGUGCAAACGUUGUUCGGAAUUACUGGGCGUAAAGCGCGUGUAGGCGGCCCGGAAAGUCGGAUGUGAAAGCCCUGGGCUUAACCUAGGAAGUGCAUUCGAAACUCCCGUGGCUUGAGUUCUGGAGAGGGAAGCGGAAUUCUCGGUGUAGAGGUGAAAUUCGUAGAUAUCGAGAGGAACACCGGUGGCGAAGGCGGCUUCCUGGACAGUGACUGACGCUGAGACGCGAAAGCGUGGGGAGCAAACAGG
rnacentral:rRNA from 1 species